rnacentral:rRNA from 1 species
UACGGGGGGAGCAAGCGUUGUUCGGAUUUACUGGGCGUAAAGGGCGCGUAGGCGGUCAGCACAAGUCAGUUAUGAAAUCUCCGGGCUUAACUCGGAAAGGUCAACUGAUACUGUGCGACUAGAGUGCAGAAGGGGCAACUGGAAUUCUCGGUGUAGCGGUGAAAUGCGUAGAUAUCGAGAGGAACACCUGCGGCGAAGGCGGGUUGCUGGGCUGACACUGACGCUGAUGCGCGAAAGCCAGGGGAGCGAACGGG